AUUCUUAACCAUUCUCUUUUUUAACAAAAAGACUUUUCAGGAACAAUAAAACACUCUCUCUCUCUCUUACUUGUGUAGGAGCAAUGCAGAGUGUGACAAGAAUGCGCGUGCUGGACUAAGUCCUGGUUCCUUCUGCCAAAUCACAGGCUCUAUCCACUUAACUUUAAGGAGGUGUCCCUUAGCUAACCCCACUCACAGAACUGUCACAAGAGGCCAACACAGUGCACUGACUUGGAGACAGAAGACCAAUAUAUUGUAUUUGGAGGUCAGCAUAUUGAAUUCAGAGGAACUGCAGCAAAAAGAUAAUGCAAGAGAGCCCUCAAGCUUCCAUGCUAGACCUAUGGCCAUGAAGAUGUCUCCUUGUUCAUGGGUGAUUUCCCUAUAACACACUGCAAACCUGUAUGGUGCACAGCAUCUAUCUACAGGGUUCUGCAAAACUUUGGGCUUUAUGUUCAUGCUUUGGGUGGUCACAAAACCAAAAUGAGUAAAUAAUCACGAGAUUUACUCUCCCCUCACCGUGUUUCUUCAAAUUGUCUACGUAGUCUGAUCUUGUUUUUGAAGGAUACCUUUGCAAUUCCAAACUCCAAAUGGAGACAGAAGCUGGGUGAAGCAUAAAUUAAUUUGGGUUUGCUGCAAAUGAGUCUAAAUAGAGUCUGUGAGUUGGGAGUGAAGUGGGUCAUACACUGUGGGAACUGGCCGGGUAAAGUGGCACCAGUCACACUGUGGCUCUUCAGUCACGUGGAUUAUGAGCAGAUCUAAAUUUCACAGCCUCCUUGUGAGAGGCAGUUCGUCAUCCUGUGGUGGAGGAGCCCAGCAGAGCAGCAGUCACUGCACAUCCCCCUCCUUCCAGCGUACCCCAGAAGGCAGCGAGAGACAAGGUGGCUCGGGUGAAGUAAAAGGCUGCGAAGGGCAGGGAAAGAAAACCUGUGCAUGACAGCGUUCACUGCACAGCCAGUUCUGCUUCACUGGGAGCUGUUAAUUGUCCUCCACGUGGAAUUAACUCUCCAGUCAUCCCAACAACUACUGCUGCAUCUAAAUCUUCCCUUUAAUGGGCUCUCAGGGAGCGAGCGGCAUGCAACCUGAACUGUGCUCGCCACUACAUCAAUCUUUCCCUCAUCACUCUCACGCCACGCAGCAAUCGAGAGGAAUGAGCAUCGAGUGGAGCUGCUCACCCUGGCUGUAGUUCCCAACCCUCG
rnacentral:lncRNA from 1 species